CACAGGGGUUUCUUUCUUCCUUCCGUUUCUUCUUCUUCUCUAAGCUCUCGGUGCGAAGGCCAACGACGGCUAAAGAGACAUCGUUUUUAGGAUCUGCAGAGUCACUAACUGUGAUUUAAGCCCCCAGGCUGUGUACUGUGUGAGGAUGAUGCAACCUCAUGACGUUCAUGUCGAGUGAUAAGAAUGGGCCAUGACGGAGCUGAGCUCACACGCACCUCAGGUAACGUCUUUACUUAUUGUAUUAAAGCUUGUGAUUUAAUAUAAUGUGUGUGUGUGUGUGUGUGUGUGUGUGUGUGUGUGUACACACAUUAAUAUCACACGACAGAG